CUCGCUCACCUGCCGCCCGCCCGCCGGCCCGGCCCUCGCCUCAGCCGCCUCAGCCAGCAGCUGAUUGCACUUUGCAGCCCGCGUGGCAUUCGCCGCAGGACUUCUGCUGAAUGUUCUCCUGCGCGUCUUUGGGCCACAGACACGUCUGAGGACUGGUAUUGGUAGUGGGGCAGUAGAACAGGCAUCAGCUGCAGCGUUGGAGACACCCUGUUGGAGCAGACCUGCACUGAAAGCCUUUGGAGGGCCCCAGAACACAGCAGGGGGAUAUUUUGCCCGUGACAGUAACCGCCUAUGAAGAUGGGUAGAAGAUUAAAAACUUGGAACUGAAAAGCUUACUUAGGAAAUAAGGGAAAAGAUCACAUUUUAUUUCAGGGUUGAAGUGCCUCUAUUUCCUUCUCUGUGAUAUGACUGGAAAUGGUGUGAUUUUGCUUGAGACAACCUGGUUAAUUCACAGUGACAGUAUCUUAGAGCUGUGAGUUCAGCUAGUUCCUUGACAGAUUUUGGAUGACCUCUCCUUUCAUAAACCUGAAGCUACUUGGAGUGAACAUCUGUCAAACUGUUCUUUUUCAUUCAGAAACAAGCAUUCA